CUUGGUCAUUUAGAGGAAGUAAAAGUCGUAACAAGGUUUCCGUAGGUGAACCUGCGGAAGGAUCAUUAGUGAAUUGAGCUGGCUUCGGCCGCUCUGAUCUAUACACACCUGUGAACUGUUGGCCUUCGGGUCUUUAAUUACAACUGUGACGAACGUAAAUUAUUAUAACAAAUAAAACUUUUAACAACGGAUCUCUUGGCUCUCGCAUCGAUGAAGAACGCAGCGAAAUGCGAUAAGUAAUGUGAAUUGCAGAAUUCAGUGAAUCAUCGAAUCUUUGAACGCACCUUGCGCCCGUUGGUAUUCCGACGGGCAUGCCUGUUUGAGUGUCGUGAACAACCUCAACCUUGAUUGGUUUUACUAAUCAAGGCUUGGACUUGGGUGUUGCUGCUGCAAAGUGGCUCGCCUUAAAACUAUUAGCUGGACUUGUCUAUGACUUGGUUCGACUCGAUGUAAUAAGUAUUCAUCGGGGACAGGGUAACACCUGGCCAAGGCUUGAUGCCGUCUGCUUCUAAUCAUGUUCUCACUAUGAGACGCUACUUUACUGUGUGGCCUCAAAUCAGGUAGGAUUACCCGCUGAACUUAAGCAUAUCAAUAAGCGGAGGAAAAGAAACUAACAAGGAUUCCCCUAGUAACGGCGAGUGAAGCGGGAUGAGCUCAAAUUUGUAAUCUGGUGGACUCAGUUCAUCCGAAUUGUAAUCUAUAGAAAAGUUUUCCGCGCUGGACCGUGUCUAAGUCCCUUGGAACAGGGUGUCAGAGAGGGUGAGAAUCCCGUGCUUGAUACGACCACCAGUGCUAUGUGAUACUUUUUCAACGAGUCGAGUUGUUUGGGAAU
rnacentral:sRNA from 1 species